GGUAGUCCACACCGUAAACGAUGUCGACUUGGAGGUUGUGCCCUUGAGGCGUGGCUUCCGGAGCUAACGCGUUAAGUCGACCGCCUGGGGAGUACGGCCGCAAGGUUAAAACUCAAAUGAAUUGACGGGGGCCCGCACAAGCGGUGGAGCAUGUGGUUUAAUUCGAUGCAACGCGAAGAACCUUACCUACUCUUGACAUCCAGAGAACUUAGCAGAGAUGCUUUGGUGCCUUCGGGAACUCUGAGACAGGUGCUGCAUGGCUGUCGUCAGCUCGUGUUGUGAAAUGUUGGGUUAAGUCCCGCAACGAGCGCAACCCUUAUCCUUUGUUGCCAGCGGUUAGGCCGGGAACUCAAAGGAGACUGCCAGUGAUAAACUGGAGGAAGGUGGGGAUGACGUCAAGUCAUCAUGGCCCUUACGAGUAGGGCUACACACGUGCUACAAUGGCGCAUACAAAGAGAAGCGACCUCGCGAGAGCAAGCGGACCUCAUAAAGUGCGUCGUAGUCCGGAUUGGAGUCUGCAACUCGACUCCAUGAAGUCGGAAUCGCUAGUAAUCGUAGAUCAGAAUGCUACGGUGAAUACGUUCCCGGGCCUUGUACACACCGCCCGUCACACCAUGGGAGUGGGUUGCAAAAGAAGUAGGUAGCUUAACCUUCGGGAGGGCGCUUACCACUUUGUGAUUCAUGACUGGGGUGAAGUCGUAACAAGGUAACCGUAGGGGAACCUGC
rnacentral:rRNA from 1 species